rnacentral:rRNA from 1 species
GGUGAACGCUGGCGGCGUGCCUAAUACAUGCAAGUCGAGCGAACAGCCGAGGAGGUUGCUCGUCUGCCGUUAACGGCGGCGGGACGAAUAACCCGUGAAUAACCUACUUAUAAGACGGAGAGAACUUCAGGAAGCGAUAUCCUAUACCCGACUAUAUAUUCAACCGCAUGGUUCACUAGUGAAAGUGGGGUUUGGUUUCACUAGUAGAUUGAUCCGGGCCGCAGUUGCGAGUUGGUAAGGGAAAUGCUUACCAAGGCAACGAUCCGUAGCCGACCUGAGAGGGCGGUCGGCCAGACUGGACCUGAGACACGGUCCAGACUCCUACGGGAGGCAGCAGUAGGGAGUCUUCCGCAAUAGGCGACAGCCUGACGGAGCAACGCCGCGUGAGUGCUGAAGGUCUUCGGAUCGUAAAACUCUGUUAUUAGGGAAUAACAAAUGUGUAAGUAACUAGGAACGUCUUGACGGUACCUUAUCAGAAAGCCCCGGCUAACUACGUG